AAUUAACACGUUCAUUACCACUACGAUUUUCAUGAUGUCUUCUCAGAUGCCGCCUACAUUUUCCGGUGGACUCACCAGGUGAGUCGCCGGCACUGCUAUAUAAAUUGAAUCGACUCGCCACGCGAGUUCACUGGCACUACUUAUGGUAAAUUCUAUGUUUUGUUAUUUUUGUGGCCGUCACAGUGUACAACGCAAUUAAAAAGUGUUUUAGGACUUGUCUUUUUUCUUUAAAAAGUGUUUUAGCUUGUAAAAAUGGCAAAAAACUCUUCGGAUAAAAAAAAAGGUAAGUGUGUUUCGUAAUUUAAGCAGUGGUUGUCAAUCUUUUUAACUGUGGUUACUGUUAAGGUUAUAUUUUGAAUUUUGUAAUAUGUACUUGUAAAUAGACAAUUUUACCCUGAAAUACGGGCUCUCAGUUUUAAGAAUAUUGUAUCAGAUUAAAAUAUAUAAUUUUUAUUGCGAAUUUAAUUGAUAACAAUUAAAAAAAAUAGUUUUUGAAAACGUUUAAAAUCUGUCGAAUUAAAAUUAAAUGAUAACUUAUUAAUAUGCAAUAAUUAUAGUGUCUUUAAAUGAAACAACAUUUUUAUUACGUUCGUUUGUUAAGAAGUGCCUGAUAUUUUUUUAGCGCGGUUUGUGGCAGAAACGGAGCCUUACGACGACGAUUUAACUCAGAUGGAGGAGGAGAGACCUACAAAGCGACCAUGCAUAGAAGGAAAUCUCCAAAAUUACACUGAAGACAACUCGAUGAAGGUUCUGUUUGAAAAUGAUUCUCAAGACUGGGAUGACGACAAUAAUAACUAUCAAACAUGUGACAUUUCAACAAAUACGAAAAACUUAAAUCUUACUGAAAGCAGCACUCAAACUAAUACUACAGGUGAUAAUUCUAAGUAUAUAGAAAUGGCCAACGAAAGCUUUGGCAUUUUUAUUGGACGUGAACUUGCCAAUGUGCCAAUGUUUAAAAGGCGCUUUGUUAUGUAUCAGAUUAUUAGACUGAUUGAAAACAAUUCAUAAAUUAAUAAUUAAGGUCUCUGAUAAUUGGGUUGAAAGUUAUGUAAUGAUAGAAACGCAAAAGAAUCUAUGAAUGAUUAUUAAUAAAUACUAUCAAUAUA